CUGCCCUAAAUUAGGGCAGAGUUUCAAACUCUGCCCUAAUUUAGGGCAUGGUUUCAAAACUCUACCCUAAAAAUAGGGCAGAGUUUGAAACUCUGCCCUAAAUCUUGGCCGGAUUCAUAGUG